UUGCAGAGUUUCAUUCGAAGGAACAAAUGCU
rnacentral:piRNA from 1 species